rnacentral:tRNA from 1 species
AGGCGCGUAGCUCAGUGGUAGAGCACAACUUUGACGUAGUUGGGGCCGUGGGUUCAAUCCCCUCCGCGCCUA